ensembl:lncRNA
UGAAUCAGAUACCGAAGCAGUUGCGUGCGUAAUAAAGCUUCGGACGUCACUGGUCACGUGACUUUUGCCAAACGAAGCAAGCCUCGACACAGUGCUUCUGAACCAGUGUGUUGUUUUUUUCGACACACGCUCCGGAGCGUCAGCUUCAAGCGGGCCAUCACUAGUAGAAAGUGUGUAAUGAACCGCUGAUCUGUACCAUAAGUCAUCCUUGCGGGGGUUGUCGGAACUGUAUGCGCAGUCGCACUAAGGACAGAUGUGCUCAGAGGCAUGCCCCGUAACGUGUAUGAGAGGUCUGUCGUGCGGCAGGAAUAAGUUGUACAAAGUCCAUCUUAGACAUGUGUGUCAUGCAAGCUAGCAGCAUCCCAUGAGAAACGGGCCGAAGUGUUUAAGUGUUCACCGGAGUUUGCACCCUUGGCAAGCGGACUGAGUUUUCACGGUGCUCAAUGUCCAGAGAAUGAGGCGUGUGUGGUGAGGAAAUAAAUGGCUGCACCCGUUAGAGACUCUUCUGUCAUUCUUGAUGCCAAGGGCUGCUACAAAUCCAUCGCAUGCGAUGAGAGCACCGAUGCCACAGACACCGCACAGCUGCUAAUUUUUUUUUUUUUUUGCGGGGAGUGGACGAGAGCACGAGCACUUUAGAGUACACACCGCUGUGCACAGCGCACGCACACGCAAAGUCAGCUGAUCUCAUCUGAUGCAGAUCUGCUCCUUGAUCAAGUGACAUUUGUCCGGAUUUCUGGCACGAGUGGCGUACGAUGAGCACCGCGGCUGGAUGGCCCGAUUUACAUACCCAGCGCAGCUGAUACUCACCAGAAUAAUUUACUAAAAUUAUAUGCACUCCUGUUAUUAAGUCCAGUUCAGUCUGUUAAUGUUGAUAACCGUUUCAAACGAACGUUAAUAGGUGUGUUGCUAAGCCUAAGAACUUAAAUAAUAAGCUUGAAAUGUACCCGUCCCAUUUUCCCCUUUAUUGUUUUUCCUCUGUACUGUAAAUCUUCUGUCCAAGAAGAAAUCUGCUGCUGUUCUGAGAAUGAGCUACCAAAGCUUUUUCUGAAUAAAUCAAUAAAGAUCCAUUUAUGGAAAGCUGUGAUGAAGGCAGUUUUGUCUUUAAUUAUAUUCAACAAUAUAACACAUUUGACCACUUUUAAAUGAUUUUUCUAACAUUAAUACACUACAGUUAAGGUUAUAUACCUAAUUUCUAGUAAGUGGCCCAGCCCCUCCUAUAUUUUUAUGUAUGUGGCCCUCAGGGAUAAAAGUUUGGACACCCCUGGUCUAAAGUCUUUCAUCUUUAAUAAAAUAAUCAGCGUUCUUCUCUACCAGGUGUAACAAUUGAGUUUAACAUCCAGGCAUCCAUGAAAACGGAAUUUAUGACAUUUAACGGAGCUAGAAGUUAGCAGGAAGUUAGCUCGCUAGCUUCUAUCUAAAUACAACAUAGCAUGUCCUGACUGCGGGGUUUUGGAAACAAAUUAAAACGUACAGCUCUGUUAUCACUUCCAACAUAAAUGAAGACAGAAAACUAAACAGCAGUGACGUUUGUAGGGUUACUGAAGUUUGGCUAACUGGUAUAUAAUGAUGUGCUACGUGACCGCUAGCGACACAGCUGUGUUAGCAUAAUAUAAACAAGCUAACUUUUUUCCCACUCGAUAAAAGUUAACGUGAGUGUUCUCGGUGGUCAGGAACAAAUGUAAUCGCAUGGCAGGAUGCUGUAAACGGACCAAACUUCAGCCAGGAGAACAACUGAGAUAAUCCAUCCACAAUACGAGACGGUGUGGGGAGCUACAGCCCCCGUCCCCCAGUGCAUGAAGCAGGCAUGGAGAAGAUCCAGGCCCCAGAGUGCGAGAGCCCAAGGACGAUCAUCGGAGGGGCAAAACCGUGCCACCCUCCUGGGAAGAGCUGAGGAGAGCCCCAGACAAGGGGUCACCCGGCAGGGAGUGUGGUGAGGGGAGAUAGGCCUCCAUACCUUGGAGGGCCUGAGAUGUACCCAGACAGAGAGGUGGAGUCUAAGACCCAACCUGACAUAUAGACAGACGAACAGGCA